CCUACGGGUGGCAGCAGUGGGGAAUAUUGGACAAUGGGGGGAACCCUGAUCCAGCCAUGCCGCGUGUGUGAAGAAGGCCCUCGGGUUGUAAAGCACUUUCAGUGAGGAAGAACGCCUGGUGGUUAAUACCCAUCAGGAAAGACAUCACUCACAGAAGAAGCACCGGCUAACUCCGUGCCAGCAGCCGCGGUAAUACGGAGGGUGCGAGCGUUAAUCGGAAUUACUGGUCGUAAAGCGCGCGUAGGUGGCUUGAUAAGCCGGUUGUGAAAGCCCCGGGCUCAACCUGGGAACGGCAUCCGGAACUGUCAAGCUAGAGUGCAGGAGAGGAAGGUAGAAUUCCCGGUGUAGCGGUGAAAUGCGUAGAGAUCGGGAGGAAUACCAGUGGCGAAGGCGGCCUUCUGGACUGACACUGACACUGAGGUGCGAAAGCGUGGGUAGCAAACAGGAUUAGAUACCCGGGUAGUC
rnacentral:rRNA from 1 species